CCGUACUGGUUCUGGGUUCUUUUCCCCUCAUCCCUGUAACCACUACCGAUAGGCCACAAUCUUCUUCAAUUGCGGCACAUGCCAGACUCUCCCCGAUCACUAAACUUUCCGUUUCCUCAUACUCAAAGCCUUCGACACCAAAACCCAUCGCUUCACCUCUCAUUCUCUCCAUUUCUUUUCGAAGGUUAACAUCACAGUGCAAACAAGGGCAGUGAUCGCGAAGACGUCUCUGAUGGCAACAAAUGAAAAUCUUCCUCCCAAUGUAAUAAAGCAACUUGCGAAGGAGUUGAAGAAUCUCGAUGAAUCUCCACCUGAGGGUAUAAAAGUGGGAGUGAAUGAUGAUGAUUUUUCAACCAUAUAUGCUGAUAUUGAAGGCCCAGCCGGGACCCCUUAUGAGAAUGGGCUUUUUCGUAUGAAGCUGUUAUUGUCUCGUGACUUCCCACACUCUCCUCCUAAAGGUUUGUAAAUAAAUGUUGUUAUGUAGUUUUGUGGAUAAAUGUUGUUAAUUGUUAUUAAUUAAUUAUGCUUCAUCAUUGUUCAUUCAAUUCAGUUCCUAGGGCAGACUGUUUUUUGUGAAAGGAAAAUUUGAUGUUAAUUGGCUGCUUUCUUUUGUAUGGUAGUGCAGAGUUGAGUUUUUAUCAGGGAUUUUCUAUUAUUAUGUAGCUAUUUUAUUUAUACUCUUGUUGUAGGGUACUUCCUGACAAAGAUUUUCCAUCCAAAUAUUGCAACCAAUGGUGAUAUUUGUGUCAAUACGCUGAAAAAGGACUGGAAUCCAAGUCUUGGACUACGGCAUGUUCUCAUUGUAAGUGCUUUGCAACUCUUAUUGAGUUCGAACAUCAACUUAUUUUUUCAUCACUUAAUUCCUAGGGGCUGUUUCUAAACCUGCCAGUUUGAUGGAGAUGAUUUGAGACUCAGACCUUCUGAACUUUUUCCCCUUUGUUUUUCCUAAAAAAGUGUUGAUUCUCAUUUGCUUCGGACAUUGUGAUAACAGGUAGUAAGGUGUUUAUUGAUUGAACCGUUUCCAGAAUCGGCUUUAAAUGAACAGGCUGGCAAAAUGCUGCUUGAAAAUUAUGAGGAGUAUGCUAGACAUGCCAGGUAACCUGUUUUUAUCUUGUUAUGUGUUUUGUUGUGAUAGUUGGGAACAGGAAAACUUAACAAAUUUUGGAUAUUUUAGUCAUGGAAAUAAUACAAGUUGUGGAACCUUCAGAAAUUUUCUACAAAUUAUGCAAGCAUUAUUAUAGUUCCAACUAUUGAGCACCUUGUUAAUAUUCUUUACAUGUUUUUUGUAAGACCAGUUAUGGUUAUCAUCUUGUGUGAUCAAGAACUUUGACAUUCAUUCUACAAUUAUACUAAAUGACGGGUUUGUGGAAUGUGGAAAGGAUAUGGUGUCUUAGAUGUCAGCUUGCUAAUUCAAGGUCCUAUGCCGAACCAGACUGGACUUUGCUAGGAACCAGCAGUUCUGGUUCAUGGUUUAGGGGAAUUGGAGUGGCAGGGCCUGCAGUUCCAUUUGAUCCAAUGUGAUCAAAUCCAACGGUUGAAAUCCUUUUGCAAGUUUUUUAUUUAAAAAAAAAAAGAAAAAAAAUCUGGUUUUGGUUCAGAACCGAACUAUCCGGUUUCACUAUGGUUUUGACUCUGAAUUGAAUCGGUCCAGUUCAACCUGAACUGGACCUUGGCUGGUCUAAUGCUAAGUACUACUUGCAGUUCUUAACUAUGGUGCGUUAGAUUAUUAGUGCUUCUUGAGUACUGUAUUUUAUGAUAUGCUGCUUAUAUUUUUAUGGAUUUCCUCUGGGGUUUAAUUGAUUAUGGAAAUUUCCAAUUAUUAUUCAAUACCAUCCAUACAGGCUGUACACUGGAAUUCAUGCUAAACCAAAACCUAAGUUCAAGUCGGGUGCUAUUUCAGAGUCAACUACGGCUCUGAAUGUUGAUCAAAGUAAUUCCUCAGUUCUCAACAGUGACCAGAAGAACAAAGCAGUCAGUACUGCAAUAGCGUUGCCAUCCCCAUUGGCUCCUUGUACAACAGUUACAAAAGGAGGAAAUGGUCAGGAUCAGCCGGCCAUUGUUGCUCCAGUGCCUGAGACAGGAGCUGGAGGAUCUGUGACAGUCGCAACACCAGCAAUCAGUACUCCGAAGAAGGAAGGUGGAACAGCAAAAGUUCAGCUAGACAAGAGAAAAAUGGAUGCAAGGAAGAAGAGCUUAAAGAGAUUGUAAUCAAUGGAGAGGCGCCAUGUAAGUGAUGGGAAUGGGUCUGAUGUAAGGAAUAUUUCCGUUGGGAGAAAGUGAAGGAUUAAAUUAAACCCUCUUCUCUUUAAUUCAUUUGCAUUGUGGUUUCUAAAGAAAAAGGAAAACCCCUUUAUUUCAUUUGCAUUGACUUGAAAAACCUUCUAAGGUUUUGAGUUCCUGUGAUGCUCAGAACUAUAUGGCAUAAAGUUUAAUUUGAUCUUAGGUCCGGUUAGAAAUUGGAACCAGAAUUGACCAACGGUUGUCGAGAUUGAAUCGGACCGAUCCCGUGGUAGAAUAGGUACGGUCCUAGUUUCAACCGCAGAGACCAGCAGGGGCAGGAGGGCCAUUGCCUUAGCUCAAAAC
rnacentral:misc_RNA from 1 species